rnacentral:rRNA from 1 species
GAUGAACGCUGGCGGCGUGCCUAAUACAUGCAAGUCGAGCGAACAGAUGAGGAGCUUGCUCCUCUGACGUUAGCGGCGGACGGGUGAGUAACACGUGGAUAACCUACCUAUAAGACUGGGAUAACUUCGGGAAACCGGAGCUAAUACCGGAUAAUAUAUUGAACCGCAUGGUUCAAUAGUGAAAGACGGUUUUGCUGUCACUUAUAGAUGGAUCCGCGCCGCAUUAGCUAGUUGGUCAGGUAACGGCUUACCAAGGCAACGAUGCGUAGCCGACCUGAGAGGGUGAUCGGCCACCCUGGAACUGAGACACGGUCCAGACUCCUACGGGAGGCAGCAGUAGGGAAUCUUCCGCAAUGGGCGAAAGCCUGACGGAGCAACGCCGCGUGAGUGAUGACGGUCUUCGGAUCGUAAAACUCUGUUAUUAGGGAAGAACCAAUGUGUAAGUAACUAUGCACGUCUUGACGGUACCUAAUCAGAAAGCCACGGCUAACUACGUG